rnacentral:lncRNA from 1 species
ACCUGAGAUCUGCUGGGAAAUGGGGCUGUAGUAGGGCAUAGGAGCAGUGGUGUGUGUGAGUGGUGCAAUGUGUAAGGGGUGCAGAGGGUGUGUGAAGGUUGUAGUGUGUGAGUGAGGGCGGCAGUGUAUGUCAGGGAUGCAGUGUAUGUGUGGGACAGUAUGUGUGUGUAACAGUUGCAGUGUGUGUAUGGGGGGCAGUGUGUGUGUAUG